CUUCUCCCUAAAAGAUCACUAAAAUGCCAUUCCAUCAAGAUUGUUUUUUUGUUUGUUUGCUUCUUUUUCAUUAUUCUUCUCCUCCCUUUUUUCUUUCUUCAUUGACAGAGGGUGUGCAUGCCCUCCAGAUAAAGAGACACUGAGAAAGCAAGCACCUCCAAUAAGCCUAUAUGUUUUUUCCUGGUACAAAGCUUUGGACAAGCUGAUCCACAAAGUUGUUAUCCUGGAGCCUGUUUCUACCUAUUCACCCCAACUCUUCUCAAGUGAACCCUCCCCAUUUUUGUCUCAGUGGUUUGGAUGGAGAUCCUGAUUGGAUAGAAACCUAGACCUGGGUAAACAACAUCACUCACUCUUUUCAUCAGCAUUUGGUUCAUGGAUGGACCAUGACCUUAGCAACACCUGUGAAAUAUAAUUCUGGGAUAUCUGCUGAAACAACUCGGAAAAAGUCAUUCUCUUGCUAUGAGCAUUGGUAAACUAUAGUGUUCACUUGGGGUUCCCAAGUCCUAUCACAUAGAUAAGACCUACUGAGAGUCUAGCCAGCCACCAGAAGGAGAAGCAGGGAUGCCAAGGGGAAAGGUGGUGGAAAGAAAUACCUGAUAAUUUAGAGUUCUUGGAUCCUGACAUGGCUAUAGUUACCACUUUGGAACUUUUAGGAGUUCCUUCCUUUUUGUGCUGGAGCCAGUGUGUGUUGUGUUUACUACAUUUCUUGCAAACAAAUGAGUCCUGACUGAUACACUCUUCUCAGGGCGGAAGCUGAGAAGGGUUCCAGGAAAUGACCGGAGUGGUUAGUCAAAGGUGUAACUGUCCAAUGAACAACAAGGUCUCCCACUGGGAGGUGAGACUAGAGCAAAGUGUGCUGAAGGGCAGACAGGAAAACCAUGGAUGUGAGCUGAACCCUGGCCAACCAGUAGAACUUAGUGCAGAACAAUGAAUGUCCUAAAGAAGACACAAACAGAGCCAGGCUCUCAGAAGCUUUGGAACGUUUGGCAAGUGAGUUGCUAACCUUUGGGCAGCAACUGUAAGACGGAGCAAUACUCAUACAUGGGGUGGUUUUCAUGAACUUUAAAUGAAAUAAUGCAGUAUUCAGGGCUAGGCAUUUGAUACCUUAAAAAUAC